AACGAACGCUGGCGGCGUGGAUAAGGCAUGCAAGUCGAACGAUUCUUCGGCGCAAGCCGAAGAAAAGUGGCAGAAGGGUUAGUAACGCGUAGGUAAUCUACCUUCGUGUUGGGGAUAACCUCCCGAAAGGGGGCGGUAAUACCAACUGACGAUUGUCGGUUGUCGCAUGUGACUGCAAUCAAAGGUAGGCCGGCAAGGCUGCCGCCGUGAAGAUGAGCCUGCGUCCUAUCAGCAGUUGGUGAGGUAACGGUUCACCAAGGCUUUUGACGGGUA
rnacentral:rRNA from 1 species